rnacentral:rRNA from 1 species
UGGGGAAUUUUGGACAAUGGGGGAAACCCUGAUCCAGCCAUCCCGCGUGUGCGAUGAAGGCCUUCGGGUUGUAAAGCACUUUUGGCAGGAAAGAAACGUCAUGGGUCAAUACCCCGUGAAACUGACGGUACCUGCAGAAUAAGCACCGGCUAACUACGUGCUAGCAGCCGCGGUAAUACGUAGGGUGCAAGCGUUAAUCGGAAUUACUGGGCGUAAUGCGUGCGCAGGCGGUUCGGAAAGAAAGAUGUGAAAUCCUAGAGCUCAACUUUGGAACUGCAUUUUUAACUACCGGGCUAGAGUGUGUCAGAGGGAGGUGGAAUUCCGCGUGUAGCAGUGAAAUGCGUAGAUAUGCGGAGGAACACCGGUAGCGAAGGCAGCCUCCAGGGAUAACACUGACGCUCAUGAACGAAGGCGUGGGGGGCAAACAGG